rnacentral:rRNA from 1 species
UACGUAGGUGGCGAGCGUUGUCCGGAUUUACUGGGCGUAAAGAGCGCGCAGGCGGUCGUACAAGUCGCGUGUGAAGCCCCCGGCUCAACUGGGGAGGGUCACGCGAUACUGUUCGACUCGAAGGCAGGAGAGGGAAGUGGAAUUCCCGGUGUAGUGGUGAAAUGCGUAGAUAUCGGGAGGAACACCAGUGGCGAAGGCGACUUCCUGGCCUGUUCUUGACGCUGAGGCGCGAAAGCUAGGGUAGCAAACGGG